CUCCUCCCGCCCCCCCGC
rnacentral:miRNA from 1 species